rnacentral:rRNA from 1 species
AGCGACUGUGCAGGUUACCGCGGCUGCUGGCACGGAGUUAGCCGGUGCUUCUUCUGUGAGUGAUGUCCUUCCUGCCGGCUAUUAACCCGCAGGCCUUCUUCCUCACUGAAGUGCUUUACAACCCGAAGGCCUUCUUCACACACGCGGCAUGGCUGGAUCAGGGUUGCCCCCAUUGUCCAAUAUUCCCACUGCUGCCUCCCGUAGGAGUCUGGGCCGUGUCUCAGUCCCAGUGUGGCUGAUCAUCCUCUCAGACCAGCUACGGAUCGUCGCCUUGGUGAGCCGUUACCUCACCAACCAGCUAAUCCGACAUAGGCUCAUCCGAUAGCGCGAGGCCCGAACGGUCCCCCGCUUUCCCCCGUAGGGCGUAUGCGGUAUUAGCCUGGGUUUCCCCGAGGUUAUCCCCCACUACCGGGCAGAUUCCUAUGCAUUACUCACCCGUCCGCCGCUCGCCACCAGGGAGCAAGCUCCCCGUGCUGCCGCUCGACUUGCAUGUGUUAGGCCUGCCGCCAGCGUUCAAU